AAGGAAAAGGAAGCACGUUAGGAAAAUGUCUUAUUUAGUUUUGAGAGGUCUUGUGGGGCCUUAGCUCAGCUGGGAGAGCGCCUGCUUUGCACGCAGGAGGUCAGCGGUUCGAUCCCGCUAGGCUCCAUAGUCACUUGAAAGUUAUCGAGUGAUGAAGACCUGACAACGAAGUCAUAAAAAUAGUAUGUCCAUUGAAAAUUGAAUAUCUAUAUCAAAUUCCGCAAUCAGAAAUGAUUGUAGAAAAGUAACAAGAAAUAAACCGAAAAAAAGCUGAAAAUAUUUAAUGAGUUUAACUAGUUUGAAAUAUACUAGUAAAAUAA
rnacentral:tRNA from 1 species